rfam:Trichobilharzia regenti genome assembly, scaffold: TRE_scaffold0116368
GUACUGAUGAAAAGUCCCAAACUGGGACGAAACAGCUGUCCAGUAC